rnacentral:rRNA from 1 species
GACGAACGCUAGCUACAGGCUUAACACAUGCAAGUCGAGGGGCAGCAUGGUCUUAGCUUGCUAAGGCCGAUGGCGACCGGCGCACGGGUGAGUAACACGUAUCCAACCUGCCGUCUACUCUUGGACAGCCUUCUGAAAGGAAGAUUAAUACAAGAUGGCAUCAUGAGUCCACAUGUUCACAUGAUUAAAGGUAUUCCGGUAGACGAUGGGGAUGCGUUCCAUUAGAUAGUAGGCGGGGUAACGGCCCACCUAGUCUUCGAUGGAUAGGGGUUCUGAGAGGAAGGUCCCCCACAUUGGAACUGAGACACGGUCCAA